GAAUUUUAACUGGUACCAUAGU
rnacentral:piRNA from 1 species